GAUGAACGCUGGCGGCGUGCCUAAUACAUGCAAGUCGAGCGAACGGACGAGAAGCUUGCUUCUCUGAUGUUAGCGGCGGACGGGUGAGUAACACGUGGAUAACCUACCUAUAAGACUGGGAUAACUUCGGGAAACCGGAGCUAACACCGGAUAAUAUUUUGAACCGCAUGGUUCAAAAGUGAAAGACGGUCUUGCUGUCACUUAUAGAUGGAUCCGCGCUGCAUUAGCUAGUUGGUAAGGUAACGGCUUACCAAGGCAACGAUGCAUAGCCGACCUGAGAGGAGGAACCGGCAAACUGGAACUGCGAAACGGUCCAGAAACCUACGGGAGGCAGCAGUGGGGAAUAUUGGAGAAAGGGCGAAAGGCUGAUCCAGCCAUGCCGCGGGUGUGAAGAAGGUCUUCGGAUUGUAAAACACUUUAAGUUGGGAGAAAGGGCAGUAAGUUAAUACCUUGCUGUUUUGACGUGACCCAAAGAAUAAGCACCGGCUAACUUCGUG
rnacentral:rRNA from 1 species